GAUGAACGCUGGCGGCGUGCCUAAUACAUGCAAGUCGAGCGAACGGACGAGAAGCUUGCUUCUCUGAUGUUAGCGGCGGACGGGUGAGUAACACGUGGAUAACCUACCUAUAAGACUGGGAUAACUUCGGGAAACCGGAGCUAAUACCGGAUAAUAUUUUGAACCGCAUGGUUCAAAAGUGAAAGACGGUCUUGCUGUCACUUAUAGAUGGAUCCGCGCUGCAUUAGCUAGUUGGUAAGGUAACGGCUUACCAAGGCAACGAUGCAUAGCCGACCUGAGAGGGUGAUCGGCCACACUGGAACUGAGAAACGGUCCAGACUCCUACGGGAGGCAGCAGUAGGGAAUCUUCCGCAAUGGGCGAAAGCCUGACGGAGCACCGCCGCGUGAGUGAUGAAGGUCUUCGGAUCGUAAAACUCUGUUAUUAGGGAAGAACAUAUGUGUAAGUAACUGUGCACAUCUUGACGGUACCUAAUCAGAAAGCCACGGCUAACUACGUG
rnacentral:rRNA from 1 species